rnacentral:tRNA from 1 species
GAGGGUAUAGCUCAGGGGUAGAGCACGUGCUUAGCAGGCAUGAGGUUCUGGGGUCAAUCCCAAGUACCUCCA